rnacentral:rRNA from 1 species
AGCGAACGCUGGCGGCAGGCUUAACACAUGCAAGUCGAGCGGGCGUAGCAAUACGUCAGCGGCAGACGGGUGAGUAACGCGUGGGAACAUACCUUUUGGUUCGGAACAACACAGGGAAACUUGUGCUAAUACCGGAUAAGCCCUUACGGGGAAAGAUUUAUCGCCGAAAGAUUGGCCCGCGUCUGAUUAGCUAGUUGGUGAGGUAACGGCUCACCAAGGCGACGAUCAGUAGCNGGUCUGAGAGGAUGAUCAGCCACAUUGGGACUGAGACACGGCCCAAACUCCUACGGGAGGCAGCAGUGGGGAAUAUUGGACAAUGGGCGCAAGCCUGAUCCAGCCAUGCCGCGUGAGUGAUGAAGGCCCUAGGGUUGUAAAGCUCUUUUGUGCGGGAAGAUAAUGACGGUACCGCAAGAAUAAG